GUCUAUGGCCAUACCACCCUGAAUGUGCAUGAUCUCGUCUAAUCUCAGAAGCUAAGCAGAGUCAGACCUGGUGAAUCAGGGUUGGGCCUAAUUAUACUUGGAUGGGAGAAAUG
rnacentral:rRNA from 1 species